rnacentral:rRNA from 1 species
CAUAUCCCCAAGAGGGAGCACAAACGUGCGCUCAGGGACGUCUAUGCGAUAGAGCCAGUCGCCCCAAAAUUCAACCAAUGGUCGUCCUGCCCGAUCACCUUUGAUCGCAGGGACCAUCCGACCAGUAUCCGUCAUGGCGGUUCAGCCGCAGUGGUCCUUGACCCAAUCAUUGAUGGAUUCCACCUCACGCGACUCCUCAUGGACGGUGGAAGCAGCCUCAACCUGCUCUAUCAGGAUACAGUCCACAAAAUGGGCAUCGAUCCAUCAAGGAUCAAGCCCACAAAAACUACCUUUAAAGGAGUAAUACUAGGUGUAGAGGCCUGCUGCACGGGUUCAAUCACAUUGGAAGUUGUCUUCGGAUGCCCGGACAACUUCCGAAGCGAAGACUUGAUCUUCGACAUCGUCCCCUUCCGCAGUGGCUAU